rnacentral:misc_RNA from 1 species
CGAUUAUUCUGUAGAUGCAAUUGAACUGCAGUUGCAGUAUAGUCUUUUGUGCAUAAGUACCUUAUUGGCUUAUAUUUUUUCUGUUAAUUGUUUCUCUUUGAAAAGUAGGCAUACAUGGACAUCAUAAAGGAGCUGUAACAACAGAUUUGAGAUCCCUAGUUUAACUAUCACACAGGCCUAUGCUGUCGGUGGUUUUCGAAAACAUGGGCUCGUUGUGCAGCAGAAACAAACACUACAGUCAAGCCGAUGAUGAGGAAAAUACUCAGACUGCAGAGAUAGAAAGACGGAUUGAACAAGAAACAAAGGCAGAGAAGCAUAUUCAGAAACUUCUUCUACUUGGUGCCGGAGAUUCGGGGAAGUCUACGAUUUUUAAGCAGAUAAAACUCUUGUUCCAAACUGGCUUUGAUGAAGAAGAGCUAAAGAACUACAUCCCUGUCAUUCAUGCCAAUGUUUAUCAGACGAUAAAAAUAUUACAUGAUGGAUCAAAGGAAUUAGCUCAAAAUGAAUUAGAGGCCUCAAAGUAUCUUCUAUCAGCUGAAAAUAAG